CAACAAAUCUGUUCCUAUGUCCUUGUGGUCUUACAACCACACAGAACGGCUAUUUAACUACUUCCAACAUCUAAUAUGUCCUUUGCUGGUGAAUGGUCCAUUAUUGUAAGGAACGAGAGAGAUGAAGCGAUGGCUGAUCUUACUAUUGAAACGGAAAAGUACUAGUGUUGCUGCAUUCUAGACAUUGAAUUGGACAACCAUUGCACUACAGGUACCCAAUUGAAUAACAGCUUGGUUGGAUCGCAUCCUGAUUGAUACAAGUUACAGUUACCAUUCUGAUCCGUGCCACAAAUUUUUCCUUUUUUUUCUUUUUGCCUCUAAGUAUAUGUACGUAUAUAUUUGUUCUCGCAUGCACCACGAGAGUAGAACAUGCAAAUUUAUCAGUAGAGUAUUAAUUAAUUGAGCAUGAUUUAAUUGUUUGG